rnacentral:misc_RNA from 1 species
UCCGAGUUGACCCCGGCAGUCUCCUAUGAGUCCCCGCCAUCACGCGCUGGCAACAUAGAACGAGGGUUGCGCUCGUUGCGGGACUUAACCCAACAUGUCACCACACGAGCUGACGACAGCCAUGCAGCACCUGUCUUCUGGUCGUAUUGCUACGAAAGCCGUAUCUCUACGGUUGUCCAGAGAUGUCAAAUCCAGGUAAGGCUUUUCGCGUUGCUUCGAAUUAAACCACAUGAUCCACCGCUUGUGCGGGCCCCCGUCAAUUCCUUUGAGUUUUAGUCUUGCGACCGUACUUCCCAGGCGGGGUACUUAUUGCGUUAGCGCCGAUUCAGCAGGGGUCAAGACCCGCCAAAUCUAGUACCCAUCGUUUACAGCGUGGACUAC